ACGGAAGGCAGCAGUCGGGAAUAUUGCGCAAUGGAGGGAACUCUGACGCAGUGACGCCGCGUAUAGGAAGAAGGUUUUCGGAUUGUAAACUAUUGUCUGCGGGGAAGAAGAAAGACAGUACCUGCAAAGAAAGCUCCGGCUAACUACGUGCCAGCAGCCGCGGUAAUACGUAGGGAGCAAGCGUUAUCCGGACUUAUUGGGUGUAAAGGGUGCGUAGACGGGAAAUUAAGUUAGUUGUGAAAUCCCUCGGCUCAACUGAGGACGUGCAACUAAAACUGGUUUUCUUGAGUGCAGGAGAGGAAAGUGGAAUUCCUAGUGUAGCGGUGAAAUGCGUAGAUAUUAGGAGGAACACCAGUGGCGAAGGCGACUUUCUGGACUGUAACUGACGUUGAGGCACGAAAGUGUGGGGAGCAAACAGGAUUAGAUACCCUGGUA
rnacentral:rRNA from 1 species